GAUGAACGCUGGCGGCGUGCCUAAUACAUGCAAGUCGAGCGAAUGGAUUAAGAGCUUGCUCUUAUGAAGUUAGCGGCGGACGGGUGAGUAACACGUGGGUAACCUGCCCAUAAGACUGGGAUAACUCCGGGAAACCGGGGCUAAUACCGGAUAACAUUUUGAACCGCAUGGUUCGAAAUUGAAAGGCGGAUUCGGCUGUCACUUAUGGAUGGACCCGCGUCGCAUUAGCUAGUUGGUGAGGUAACGCCGUACCAAGGGAACGAUGCGUAGCCGACCUGAGAGGGUGAUCCGCCAACCAGGGAGUGAGACACGGCCCGGACUCCUACGGGAGGCAGCAGUAGGGAAUCUUCCGCAAUGGACGAAAGUCUGACGGAGCAACGCCGCGUGAGUGAUGAAGGCUUUCGGGUCGUAAAACUCUGUUGUUAGGGAAGAACAAGUGCUAGUUGAAUAAGCUGGCACCUUGACGGUACCUAACCAGAAAGCCACGGCUAACUACGUGCCAGCCGCCGCUGUAA
rnacentral:rRNA from 1 species